AGCGGCGGACGGGUGAGUAAUGUCUGGGAAACUGCCUGAUGGAGGGGGAUAACUACUGGAAACAGUAGCUAAUACCGCAUGACCUCGAAAGAGCAAAGUGGGGGAUCUUCGGACCUCACGCCAUCGGAUGUGCCCAAAUGGGAUUAGCUAUUAGGUGAGGUAAUGGCUCACCUAGGCGACGAUCCCUAGCUGGUCUGAGAGGAUGACCAGCCACACUGGAACUGAGACACGGUCCAGACUCCUACGGGAGGCAGCAGUGGGGAAUAUUGCACAAUGGGCGCAAGCCUGAUGCAGCCAUGCCGCGUGUGUGAAGAAGGCCUUAGGGUUGUAAAGCACUUUCAGCGAGGAGGAAGGCAUCAUACUUAAUACGUGUGGUGAUUGACGUUACUCGCAGAAGAAGCACCGGCUAACUCCGUGCCAGCAGCCGCGGUAAUACGGAGGGUGCAAGCGUUAAUCGGAAUUACUGGGCGUAAAGCGUGCGCAGGCGGUUGUGCAAGACAGACGUGAAAUCCCCGGGCUUAACCUGGGAACUGCAUUUGUGACUGCACGGCUAGAGUGUGUCAGAGGGGGGUAGAAUUCCACGUGUAGCAGUGAAAUGCGUAGAUAUGUGGAGGAAUACCGAUGGCGAAGGCAGCCCCCUGGGAUAACACUGACGCUCAUGCACGAAAGCGUGGGGAGCAACAGGAUUAGAUACCCUGGUAGUCACGCCCUAAACGAUGUCACUAGUUGUCGGGUCUUAAUUGACUUGGUAACGCAGCUAACGCGUGAAGUUGACCGCCUGGGGAGU
rnacentral:rRNA from 1 species